rnacentral:tRNA from 2 species
UGCGGACGUGGUGAAAUUGGCAGACACGCUAGAUUUAGGUUCUAGUGAGAGUAUCUCGUGAGAGUUCAAGUCUCUCCGUCCGCAUC